AAUAUCUACUUCUGUGUAUUGAUUUUAAGAAGGGCAUUGAUGUUAAUGGUUAGGUACAUUUGUGCAACGGUUGUGCAUUUUUCGCGUAUGCGCUUAAAUCCUCCCCCGUUUGGCGAAGUAAGCUGUGAAUCGAUGAUGAAUUAACAGGCACCGCAUUGAUUAUAUGCAAUGCAGGACAAGCUAGUUAACCUAGUAAUAUCAUCAACCAUGUGUAGUUAACUAGUGAUUAUGUGAAGAUUGAUUGCUUUUUUUUAUAAGUUUAAUGCUAGCUAGCAACUUAAUUGGUGCCUUGCUGCCCUCGCAUAGCAGGUGGUCACCCUGCCACACAAUUUUCUUGUGGAAUGCAAUGUAAUCGGUGUCCAAAAAUGCCAAUUACCAAUUGUUAUGAAAACUUGAAAUCGGCCCUAAUUAAUCUAACAUGCCGAUUAAUCGGUCAACCUCUAAUUCCUAUUCACGGCUAUUCUGAAUGUGCCCUCACUUGGAUUGAAUGUUGUGUUCACAAACACCGUUCUCUUUGAUGUGACGAGUUGUUUUGUGAAUAAUCAUGUUUACUUGAUUAUGCUUGUGUGGGUGGGUCUAUCUAUGUAUCGGAGUGGGCUUACAUAAGGAUGCAUGGAUCAAGUAUGUGUCUGUACUAUUGUCUAUACAAUCAUUAGGAUUUCUGUGUGUUUUGUGAGUGUGAUGCUUUUAUGUGGUUGUUCAAGAAGGACAUUGCAGUCAGUGUGCCUUUUUAGAGCUUCCGAGUGUUUUCUGUGUCUGGGAGAGGGGAAGAGGGAGAGCGCUAACUUGCCGCUAUCGAGUGGGAGAUGGAGAGAGGAGGGCGAGUCCGCCCGCCCGCCUGUCUGUUCCUGUGUGUCUGUCCUUGUAUGUGUUCCUGCGCGUGCGCCAAUACCUGGCACUUGCUUUCAACACUGCAGAGCUCACUCUGUCUACAGCUCUCCAUCUCUUUCUCUUACUCCUCUCCUCCUCUUCCCUCUCCUUUUUUAUUCCUCAUAAUUUGUGUGCCUCUAUUGCCAUAUCUCUAUGCCACGUCCUUCAAGUAGUUUACCAUGGUACAGGAUUUUACUAGCUGGAGACGCAGCUCUUUUCUACUAACUAAGGUAAUGAGGAUGCAAUGUGAAGACUUCAGGCACCUCCCAGAUUCUGUCCUCAAGCGACCAGCUGGACUACAGAUGACCUCAGUGAGGUGGUUAAAAGUCACAGUUGAGGAUCCUUGGAAUCUGUACGCCAGACAGAGCCACAGUCUAUUUGAGGGAUGGAAGUCGUGGCUGAUCUCCAAACCAAAACAAGGAGCUACACCUCAACCUCCCUAUUUUGCAAGCCACUACCCUAGAGCAUAUGAGAGUCCUCUGCCCAUCAAAAAAAAACAAGUACCAAGAUCUGAUGACCUGCUCAACUACUUGCCAGCUGCUACACGCUCUUUUUAUAAAUCACUGCAGAGUGAACAAUUUGUUGUUAAACCAAGCUACAUAAUUAACAUUUUUUUCUGUGAGUUUAUGAUCCCCUGAACCUGUAUAGUAUGUUGAAUCUGAAUACAUUUCAGUAGACAUGUCACCCCUAUUGUAGGAAAUUAAAUGUAUAGUAAGUAGGUGUUUUCUAUGUGAAUCAAUUUGUGCAUGAUUUGAACCAGCACAAUAUAUUGAAUUAAUUAAAUUUUAAGAUGGUUCCUAGUGUAUAAAAUGUUAUGUACAAUGUGUUCUGUUGAGAAUUAUUUUGUGUGAACCUUUUUUAAUUUGAACCUUUUUUAAAUCUGAAUGAAUUAAAAACAAAUAAGUCAUCACAUACAGUAUGUGAGUAUUCAUUUGAUCUUGAUUCCCUUUUUUUAUUCAUUACAAUAUACGGUACGUCUCUCUGUCACCACAUUUAGCAUUAACUCUAAGCAGUUAAUACUUAUUUACUGCUGU